rnacentral:rRNA from 1 species
GACGAACGCUGGCGGCGUGCCUAAUACAUGCAAGUAGAACGCUGAAGAGAGGAGCUUGCUCUUCUUGGAUGAGUUGCGAACGGGUGAGUAACGCGUAGGUAACCUGCCUUGUAGCGGGGGAUAACUAUUGGAAACGAAAGCUAAUACCGCAUAACAAUGGAUGACACAUGUCAUUUAUUUGAAAGGGGCAAUUGCUCCACUACAAGAUGGACCUGCGUUGUAUUAGCUAGUAGGUGAGGUAACGGCUCACCUAGGCGACGAUACAUAGCCGACCUGAGAGGGUGAUCGGCCACACUGGGACUGAGACACGGCCCAGACUCCUACGGGAGGCAGCAGUAGGGAAUCUUCGGCAAUGGGGGCAACCCUGACCGCGCAACGCCGCGUGAGUGAAGAAGGUUUUCCGAUCGUAAAGCUCUGUUGUAAGUCAAGAACGAGUGUGAGAGUGGAAAGUUCACACUGUGACGUUAGCUUACCAGAAAGGGACGGCUAACUACGUG